ACCUGGCUGGCUCAGUCAGUAGAGCAUGCGACUCUUGAUCUCAGGGUCAUGAGUUCAAGCCCCAUGUUGGGUA
rnacentral:tRNA from 1 species